rnacentral:rRNA from 1 species
CCUACGGGUGGCUGCAGUGGGGAAUAUUGGACAAUGGGCGAAAGCCUGAUCCAGCCAUGCCGCGUGUGUGAAGAAGGCCUUCGGGUUGUAAAGCACUUUCAGUGGGGAAGAAAGCCUUGGGGCUAAUACCCUCGAGGAAGGACAUCACCCACAGAAGAAGCACCGGCUAACUCCGUGCCAGCAGCCGCGGUAAUACGGAGGGUGCGAGCGUUAAUCGGAAUUACUGGGCGUAAAGCGCGCGUAGGCGGUCUGAUAAGCCGGUUGUGAAAGCCCCGGGCUCAACCUGGGAACGGCAUCCGGAACUGUCAGGCUAGAGUGCAGGAGAGGAAGGUAGAAUUCCCGGUGUAGAGGUGAAAUGCGUAGAGAUCGGGAGGAAUACCAGUGGCGAAGGCGGCCUUCUGGACUGACACUGACGCUGAGGUGCGAAAGCGUGGGUAGCAAACAGGAUUAGAUACCCAGUAGUC